rnacentral:SRP_RNA from 1 species
GGGCAAGACCUACACGACCAGCUCCCUCAAAAUCCCCCAGGGUGGGAACACAGCAAGGGUAUGAGGUUGUAGCGGUGCGAUGUGGACCUCUUGCCCUUU